GGACGGGUGAGUAAUGCCUAGGAAUCUGCCUAGUAGUGGGGGACAACGUUUCGAAAGGAACGCUAAUACCGCAUACGUCCUACGGGAGAAAGUGGGGGAUCUUCGGACCUCACGCUAUUAGAUGAGCCUAGGUCGGAUUAGCUAGUUGGUAGGGUAAAGGCCUACCAAGGCGACGAUCCGUAACUGGUCUGAGAGGAUGAUCAGUCACACUGGAACUGAGACACGGUCCAGACUCAUACGGGAGGCAGCAGUGGGGAAUAUUGGACAAUGGGCGAAAGCCUGAUCCAGCCAUGCCGCGUGUGUGAAGAAGGCCCUCGGGUCGUAAAGCACUUUAAGUUGGGAGGAAGGGCUUACAGCGAAUACCUGUGAGUUUUGACGUUACCGACAGAAUAAGCACCGGCUAACUUCGUGCCAGCAGCCGCGGUAAUACGAAGGGUGCAAGCGUUAAUCGGAAUUACUGGGCGUAAAGCGCGCGUAGGUGGCUUGAUAAGUUGGAUGUGA
rnacentral:rRNA from 1 species